rnacentral:rRNA from 1 species
UCCCGCCUGCCCUGUGACUAUAUGUUUAACGGCCGCGGUAUUUUGACCGUGCGAAGGUAGCGCAAUCACUUGUCUUUUAAAUGGAGACCUGUAUGAAAGGCAUCACGAGGGCUUAGCUGUCUCCCCUUUAAAGUCAAUGAAAUUGAUCUCCCCGUGCAGAAGCGGGGAUAUGCUCGUAAGACGAGAAGACCCUAUGGAGCUUAAGAUAAAAGGCGAGUCAUGUCAAACACCCCUUCAAAGGAAGUUGAACGAAAUGAUACCCGCUGGAAUGUCUUCGGUUGGGGCGACCGCGGGGAAAGACAAAACCCCCACAUGGACCAGGGCCACUAUAGCCCUAAAACCUAGACCCACAGGUCAAGUCAACAGUAAAUCUGACUACCAAAGAGCCGGCAAUGCCGAUCAACGGACCGAGUUACCCUAGGGAUAACAGCGCAAUCCCCUCCCAGAGCCCUUAUCGACGAGGGGGUUUACGACCUCGAUGUUGGAUCAGGACAUCCUAAUGGUGCAGCCGCUAUUAAGGGUUCGUUUGUUCAACGAUUAAAGUCCUACG